rnacentral:rRNA from 1 species
GUUCCUUGGAAAAGGACAGCUGAGAGGGUGAGACUCCCGUCCGCCUGGUAGAGUGAGCCUUUGUCAAAGAGUCGAGUUGUUUGGGAUUGCAGCUCUAAUUUGGUGGUAAAUUCCAUCUAAAGCUAAAUAUUGGUGGGAGACCGAUAGCGUACAAGUACCGUGAGGGAAAGAUGCAAAGAACUUUGAAAAGAGAGUUAAAGAGUACCUGAAAUUGCUGAAACGGAAGCGAAGGAAACCAGUGUUUGUUUGUUCAUAUUUCCCUGACCACUUGUGGUUUGGGCGCUGUGGGCUUGCGUCGGUUUGCUUUGGCUAAUCCCUUUGGAAGAGCGCAGUCAGAGUUGAUGUCU